CAGCCGCCGCGGUAAUACGGAGGGAGCUAGCGUUGUUCGGAAUUACUGGGCGUAAAGCGCACGUAGGCGGUUAUUCAAGACAGAGGUGAAAGCCCGGGGCUCAACCCCGGAACUGCCUUUGAAACUAGAUGACUAGAAUCUUGGAGAGGUCAGUGGAAUUCCGAGUGUAGAGGUGAAAUUCGUAGAUAUUCGGAAGAACACCAGUGGCGAAGGCGACUGACUGGACAAGUAUUGACGCUGAGGUGCGAAAGCGUGGGGAGCAAACAGGAUUAGAUACCCGCGUAGUCCCUGUCUCUUAUAC
rnacentral:rRNA from 1 species